rnacentral:lncRNA from 1 species
GCCCGCGCGCGCCCGCCCCGGGAGGAGGGUGCGCGGCGGAGGCGCGGGGGGGGGGGGGAGUCGAGGAGGGGCCGCGCCCGGUCCUCGCCCGCAGCGGGCACCGCCGGGGGCCCCGGGAGGCCUUGUUGGUAUUCCGGGCACAGCAGAAGCCCUGACCUCCCCGCGGAACAGGGGCGCCCGGGAGCGCGGCGCGGCCGCCGCCCCCGGGCGGUCUCCCCGGACUGCGGGGCCGUAGGCGCCUUGCUCCCCCUCCUCCCUGUCCCCUCCUCUCCAGGUCCCCCGUACCCCCUCCCCCGGCCUGAUCCGGCGGCGAAGGGGUGGGCAGGGAAACGCGCUCUCUGGGACAGGUGCCAACUCCGAGACAAAAGACAUAAAAUAGGCGGCAACGGGGGAAGCGCGGCCGGCGCGCUCGGGCGGGGACGGAGGCGCCGCGGGGGCCGCAUCCUCGGUGCCGACCGGGGAAAGUUUGGGAAGUCGCCGCGGCGGCUUCGCAGCGGCGGGGGACACGCGGGCCGGGCCGCCCUCCGCGCCGCGCUCGCCCUCUCCGCGCCGCUGCUGAAUAAUUCAUGGCGCGGCCGCCGGCCAUUAGCAUGCACCGGGCGCGCGGCGCGUCUGUGCCCAGCCGUCGCCGCCGCAUUCGGCGCCCCGGCCGCGCUAGACGAGCGGCCGCGCAGAGGCCGGGCCCGCGCCGUCCCCGCGCUCGCCCGCCCGUCCGCCCGUCCGCCCACCCGGCGGCUCCCAUUGUGCCCCAGGCCCGCGCCGCUCCGCCGUCCUGUGACCGCCUGCGCCCCGCAGCGCGCCCGACGGCCGGCCGCUGGAAGUUCGGGCCCGCGGCGCACGCCCUGCCGCCCCGGGAUGCACGUGAACUUGGAGAAAGUCUCGGGGCGCGCCGGCGCAGACCUCCGCGGCAGGGCGUGGGCGCCCCUGGCCCCGCGCGCUUUCGUUUUCGUCUGGGACAAAGGUCCCUCGCGGCGCAGGUCGCGGACGUGGAGGCAGUGCCCUGCGGGCCACUCAGCGGGGAGGUCCGGUCGUUCAGUCAAGGGAAGCCGGAGCCUGGAGAAGACGAGCCGCGCGGUCGGAGGCGCGGUGCGGGACCAGGACAGUGGGGCCUGGCCGUGCGCUUCGCCCUGGCGGUCCAGGAGCUGUCUCGCCCUCCGAAGAGUUACGGGAGGUGGCACUGCUUUUGCUCUCUGCCCUUUCGACACGUGAAGGAGAGAAUCAUUCGGAACCCAGGACUCAGACCGGUGGCCGAGGGCCUGUGCAGCCGCGAGCACGACAGCGCAGCGCUGGCCGCGUCCGCGCGCGUUCCUCCGACAAGGGCAGAGCAGUCGACCAGCGCGCCCCAGUCUCGAUCGGGUUCAAGGCGACUCUUGAGGACGAAGGCGGCUGGUCCCAGAGCACCUCGGAGAAAGCGGACGCCUGUCUUGGCCUUUGGAAGACGCUCAAGGACCACGUGGCCGGUCCACGGUCUCUGCCCUGCGCCUCGAGGGCGAGGCAGCCCAGGUCUUGCCCUUCUUGCCGUCCACUUCGCCCCCAGCCGACGCCUGGAGCUUGAGGUGACUGAGCGCUCUCAGGCCAGCUCGGCCCUGGACCUGCUCGGCUCUGGACCUGCCCAUCUCCGUCAACGCACGAGGCCCCCGUGCCCCAGGUCAAGAAGUGGCGCCAAGGGGGGAGCUUCUGUCCGAGGCCAGCCUUCCUUCCGGCUGGACUUGGCCUGCACGAGCCACGGUCUGUGUCGCAGGGUGUCUGGAUGGAAGAGCAGCACUGGGCCCCGUCUCCCUCUCCGCCCUGAGGACCCGCCGUUCCUGGCUCCCAGGCAGGUGCGCCUGCCCCCUCCCAACCCCAGGCUCACCCUGCCCCCUUCUCUCCACCCGGCCGGGCGCCAGCCCUCGACCUGCUGCCAGCUGUCAACAUGCGACGCACACAGGGAGCAGCCGCGGCUGUGUUUGUCAGGACCGGACACCAGAGCUCCCUCUGCAGUCGUGGGUGAAGCCGAGCCCAGGAGAGCCCCUCGCCCCCGCCCUGACGGGGCCCCCUCCGAGCCUUGGUUUCCUCGUGUGAGGUGGGUUCACGGAUCCUGGCUUCACCAGGCCUUCAAGGACCAGGGAGCCAGCACACCUGGUGCCUGCCUGGAGGAGGCAGCCUGCUCGGAAGGAGUGUGGGAGGAGGCGUGGGUGUCAGAAAGCGUGGUGUGA